rnacentral:rRNA from 1 species
ACACGAACCGCACGAACGUUAUUCGGAAUCACUGGGCUUAAAGGGUGCGUAGGCGGUCCGGUAAGUUGGGUGUGAAAGCCCUCGGCUCAACCGAGGAAUUGCGCCCAAAACUACCGGACUUGAGGAAGACAGAGGUGAGCGGAACUUGCGGUGGAGCGGUGAAAUGCGUUGAUAUCGCAAGGAACACCAGUGGCGAAAGCGGCUCACUGGGUCUUUUCUGACGCUGAGGCACGAAAGCUAGGGGAGCGAACGGGAUUAGAAACCCCAGUAGUCC